UAGUGGGGAUAAAUUACCCAAGCAAGAAGAAAGCCUUCCUCAGACUUAUGGCCAGAGUGUUGCUCCCUGCUUAUUGUCAGCUUGCCUUUGAGAUUACAAACUAUCUACUCAAAAUAUCUCCAGGUCCUGAAGGGCAGGAGAAGCCAAUACAGAGAGAUCCCAGAUAGAGAAAUUACAGGCCGGUCCCUUCGUUUUGCCUUUGCGGGAAGAGUGGAAAGUGUAAACUCACCCACCAUUGGGACUGUUUCUAUAAGGCCAGGCCAGCAAUACUGAGAAACACUUAGAUAGUUCAUAUUCUUACUUUACAGUGAGCUGUAUUACAGUGAUAAGAAAAGACUUUUCUUUAUCAUGGCGUGCUGCCACUAAUAAAAUAGAUGGCCUCUCUGCAAGCAAGAGUCAUAAAGAAUGGAAGACAACUCCACACGGGUGUGGGCGGGAAGCAUCUGCUUUUCUCUUCCCUGGGAUCGAGAAACGUCUAUCAAAGUCUCUGCCGGGAUGAAGCAGGAAGACCCUACUCGUCCCCCCCAUCUUCCAUCUCAACACAUGCAGGGAGGCCCUCCCCAAAUGUCAGUACCACAGUCUUGACUACCAAGUCUCCAGAACUAUGAGUAAAUAAAUUAUUUUCUUAUUCCUUUGUGA